GGCCGCUGAAAAUCGUGGAUAUGCAGCGCGUGUAGUAGCGUUCGACCUUUUUCUACGGUCUAUGGGUUCGACCAUGAACGCGUUGGGAUUAAUUGGGUUGUCCAAAUUAGGGUGGGUAUUGGAUUGGCAAUACAAAGCCCCGUGUUGGGCGCCAACUUCCGCCAAGUUAUUUCUUUUCCACUAACAGCCGAGAGCCAGCUCCACAGAAGGCCAGCUCUUAUUGUAAUCAAGCCCUUGAAUCUGUUGUCAGAAAAAAGCUGAUCCAGAGGGGGCUUCUCCGGGUGGGGGGUGUCGAUGGUGACGGCGCGCAGCUCCUCGUCCUGGGACAGACUGCUUUCUGGGGAGGUGGAAAAGCCGCUGGUCUCCGCUUGAAUCUCCUGGGCUUUCCGAGCGCAAACGUCCAGAAAAGGCUGGGGGUCGUGGUCGCCAGAGUCAGAGCUGUCCCGCGCUGACCUGUCCUGGUACACCAUGUCUGGCUCACUGAUGGAAAAGGACACCUGUCUCACCUCUGGCUACAAUCUCCCCCUGGGCCAAGUGGUGCACUACAUCGAAUGCCCAGAAGACAACAAGGUCCAGCAGCACUACCAGGCAGCCCAUGGCAACGUGCCUGAGGACAGAAACUGAGCUGACAGCCGCUCCCUGUCUCUCUCUGGCCGUCAUGGUCAGAGAACCUGGGGACAGACGAAGGCACGAGCAGGGAUCAAACCUCUGGGAGGCGCGCUGCACUGUAGGUUUGAGUCACAGCACCUCCCUUUAAAAUAACCCUUUUCCUGCUUCAUUUCCUCUACCUCUCUCCAUUACCUGCCCUCCCUCCUCUCUCUUCUAUUCCAGCACUUCCUUCCUGCUUUUCCUCGCCUCCACUAUCAGCACUUCCCCGCCACCGCCCAUCACACUUUGUUCAUUCUUUCUGAGAUCAGCGUCAUUCUCACUCCCCCCCUCCCCUCUUUCAUGCUCACCUCUCCUCAUUCCACUCAGCCCUUUUCCGCCCCCCCCGUCUCAACUCACAAGGGCUGAUGUAGGUGACAGCCUCUUUGUCAGUGAGCGGCAGCAGAGUUGGUUUCCCUUGUCUGGAUCUCAUAAGGUCUAUCUGCACAAACUGUUCGGUGAUGUAGAUGUUGUCAAAGUCGUCCUGGUGGAGGAACCUGCUUUUGUACAGGACAGCCCUUCCCACGGGCACAAAAAAAUCAACAUGGGUGAUAUAAGCACAUGAUUGUAUAUUUCCGUGCAAUUCUCUUUUAUAUGCAAGAGAGGAGAUAAUAAGACAACAAGACCAUUUUUGAGCUCAGUUAUAUUAGACUCACUGCAGGUACAUAAGCAGU